rnacentral:rRNA from 1 species
GAAGGGUGCAAGCGUUACUCGGAAUUACUGGGCGUAAAGCGUGCGUAGGCGGUUCGUUAAGUCCGAUGUGAAAGCCCUGGGCUCAACCUGGGAACUGCAUUGGAAACUGGCGGGCUGGAGUGCGGUAGAGGGUGGCGGAAUUCCCGGUGUAGCAGUGAAAUGCGUAGAUAUCGGGAGGAACACCCGUGGCGAAGGCGGCCACCUGGACCAGCACUGACGCUGAGGCACGAAAGCGUGGGGAGCAAACAGGAUUAGAUACCCUGGUAGUCCACGCCCUAAACGAUGCGAACUGGAUGUUGGGUGCAACUUGGCACUCAGUAUCGAACGUAACGCGUUAAGUUCGC